rnacentral:rRNA from 1 species
AUUGAACGCUGGCGGAAUGCUUUACACAUACAAGUCGAACGGCAGCACGGACUUCGGUCUGGUGGCGAGUGGCGAACGGGUGAGUAACAUAUCGGAACGUAUCCAAUAAUGGGGGAUAACUAAUCGAAAGGUUGGCUAAUACCGCAUACGCCCUACGGGGGAAAGCUAGGGACCUUCGGGCCUGGCGUUAAUAGAGCGGCCGAUAUCUGAUUAGCUAGUUGGUGGGGUAAAGGCCCACCAAGGCGACGAUCAGUAGCUGGUCUGAGAGGACGACCAGCCACACUGGAACUGAGACACGGUCCAGACCCCUACGGGAGGCAGCAGUGGGGAAUUUUGGACAAUGGGCGCAAGCCUGAUCCAGCCAUUCCGCGUGAGUGAAGAAGGCCUUCGGGUUGUAAAGCUCUUUCGCAAGGGAAGAAAACUUACCCUCUAACAUAGGGUGAGGUUGACGGUACCUUGAUAAGAAGCACCGGCUAACUACGUGCCAGCAGCCGCCGUAA